rnacentral:misc_RNA from 1 species
GAUGAAGAACGUAGCGAAAUGCGAUAAGUAAUGUGAAUUGCAGAAUUCAGUGAAUCAUCGAAUCUUUGAACGCACAUUGCGCCCGCCAGUAUUCUGGCGGGCAUGCCUGUUCGAGCGUCAUUUCAACCAUCAAGCCCCCGGCUUGUGUUGGGGACCUGCGGCUGCCGCAGGCCCUGAAAAGCAGUGGCGGGCUCGCUGUCACACCGAGCGUAGUAGCAUACAUCUCGCUCUGGGCGUGCUGCGGGUUCCGGCCGUUAAACCACCUUCAUAACCCAAGGUUGACCUCGGAUCAGGUAGGAAGACCCGCUGAACUUAAGCAUAUCAAGCGGAGGA